ACUGAAUGAGCAAACACAACAGGCACACAGGCUGUCUGGCCCCUGGGGGUCUGAGAAUAGUGGAGGAACCUGGGAAAGGAUGCUGCCAGAGGCCUUGUGGUCUAUUGAGCAGGGGUCUCAGCAAACUGGUCCAACUCUUCUCAGAUAAGAGACGCCUGCUGGAAUCUAAGCGGAUCUGAUUGAACAGAGGCUUGGCUGCAGAAAGCUCCUUCAUCACGGGAGAGAAGAGAGACCCAUUCAGAGCAGCACCUAUCGAAGCCGUUUUCUACAGAAGACUCGGGGAACAGGGCCUCGUGGUUCCCAGGCCAGUCUCAACCUUGCUGCGUAGCAGAAAAUGACCUUGAACGUCUGAUUCUCCUGCUUUCCCAUCCCAAGAUUCUGAAACUGUGGGCAUCGGCCACCACACACCAAGCUUAUUUAUAGAAAGGUGCUGAAGGGUAACCCGGUGCCCACUACUGGUCUGAGCUCUGCUUCCUGAUCUGCCAGUACGUGAAGAAGUCACGCCACCAGCUCCCACCUCCACAGGGAUUUUAUCACAGCAACAGGAAGAGGAACUAACGCCAUUGAGGGUAUCAAGCUGACGGCAGAGCUUGAGGAAGGGCAGCCGCUUCACCAGUUCACGUCCUUGCUUCCCGCUCCACAUGGCCGCUUCUCUCCACCGCCCUGACCAUUUUGCUGCAUGUGAUGAAACAGACCCAGGGAUUAGAGAGUUGUACGUUCAGAACCAGAAGUCAGAACUCAAACUAAAACAGGUCUAUCACCUCCCCUAGACACCUUUGAGACCAGAGAUGGCCACCGGAGGAUGUUGGAGCCUUACUACGGAACAGCUUGACGCAUCGCCUUCUGCAGGGUGCCCUAAGGACGUCUCCCAGUGUCACACUCUGUGCUCCAUCUAAACAAGAAGCGGUGAUGGCUCCACACCAGCCCCGAGUAUCUCAGAACAGAAGAGCCAGGCUCCCAGAUGGGAGCAUCUUUUUGAUUACUUUUUAAUGAAAAACGCAUUUGCAUCCAGCCUGAAAUUAUAUUGUCAGCAGUUAAUUAUCACCUGU
rnacentral:lncRNA from 1 species